rnacentral:lncRNA from 1 species
CAGAUGUUUACCAAAACCUUCACAUCUUGGAGAUUUGAAUUGAUUUCAUGUCUUUACUAGGCUUUGCUUACUUCUAUUUUAUUUAUUGAUUAAUUUUUAUUGUUUAUUGGUACAUUUUAGGGAUACAGUACAGUUACAUUCGUCACUGGAUCUUGCACCUCUACAUGACAGGGAACAUUUCAUCAUUUGCAAAGAGGAAUCCAGC